rnacentral:lncRNA from 1 species
AUCAUUCUGCUCCUGAGUGGCUCUCUUGUGGGCUUGCUGGCAGGAUAUGGCAGCAUCUUCGGUUGUGCGUCAAGAAUUCUGCAUACAGUAGCACGUUUGUAUGAAGAAAGUCAAAGCGGACACAUACAAAGAUGGCAUCUUAGAGAGCGAGCUGACCGAAUGUAGAUAUUGCCAGAUAUUCACUGUCCGAGGAACAGGCUGUGGAAACUUUAUAUUGCUGGAAAAAGUGUCCAUAACCCGAGCCAAGUCAUGAUUUCCCUGGGGGUUAGCCUUGCAAUAACCAAGCGGUUAUAUCAGUUGUUUUGGUGAACCCUUCCCACAUCUGAACUGGCUGACACAGAGGGCACAGCAUGAUCAUAGGUACGUUUUGAUGUGAGAGGAAGCCAGUCCCGUCAUCGCCAUCUCACCUGCUCUUAAGAACCUUCGGGCCAACUGGGCGCACAAGGCUGGUUAGGAGACACCACAAUUGUGAUGAACUGAGAGAAUAUUAGGGUAGCACUGUAAUUCAUGAAUCAUAUGCUGUCUGCCGCUGUUCUUACCUCUUUCCCUUUCUGUCUUCUACACCUCUCUCCCCACCUCAUCUUUCUUCCUUGUUUUAUAAUGCACACCAUAUGUGCAUUGAAGUACAGAUUGAACUUGUAUUUAUAAUAUUAUAAUUAUAAUGCAUUUAUGUAUUUAUAACACCUGGAUAAUGAAC